rnacentral:rRNA from 1 species
AGAGUGAACGCUGGCGGCAGGCCUAACACAUGCAAGUCGAACGGCAGCACAAGGGAGCUUGCUCCCUGGGUGGCGAGUGGCGGACGGGUGAGGAAUACGUCGGAAUCUGCCUAUUUGGUGGGGAUAACGUAGGGAACUUACGCUAAUACCGCAUACGACCCAUGCCGAGAGGUGCGGGGUAGAAAGCCGGGGACCUUCGGGCCUGGCGCGGAUAGAUGAGCCGAUGUCGGAUUAGCUUGGUUGGCGGGUAAAGCCCGACAAGGCGACGAUCCGUAGCUGGUCUGAGAGGAUGAUCAGCCACACUGGAACUGGACGACACGGUCCAGACCUCCGUACGGGAGGCGAGCAGGUGGGGAAUAGUUGGACAAUGGGCGCAAGCCUGAUCCAGCCAGUACCGCGUGGUGAAGAAGGCCUUGGUUAGUAACGUCCCGUUUAGUA